AUAAGCGGAGGAAAGAACUAACAAGGAUUCCCCUAGUAACGGCGAGUGAAGCGGGAAGAGCUCAAAUUUGAAAUCUGGUGGCCUCAGGUCAUCCGAGUUGUAAUCUAUAGAAGUGUUUUCCGUGCUGGCUCAUGUACAAGUCCCUUGGAACAGGGCGUCAUAGAGGGUGAGAAUCCCGUCCUUGACAUGAACUACCAGUGCUCUGUGAUACAUUUUCAACGAGUCGAGUUGUUUGGGAAUGCAGCUCAAAAUGGGUGGUAAAUUCCAUCUAAAGCUAAAUAUUGGCGAGAGACCGAUAGCGAACAAGUACCGUGAGGGAAAGAUGAAAAGCACUUUGGAAAGAGAGUUAAACAGUAUGUGAAAUUGUUAAAAGGGAAACGAUUGAAGUCAGUCGUGCUCUUUGGAUUCAGCCGGUUCUGCCGGUGUACUUCCUUUGAGUGGGGUCAACAUCAGUUUUGAUCGCUGGAUAAAGGCUGGAGGAACGUAGUACCCUCGGGUAAACUUAUAGCCUCCUGUCACAUACAGUGGUUGGGACUGAGGAACGCAGCACGCCUUUAUGGCCGGGAUUCGUCCACGUACGUGCUUAGGAUGUUGACAUAAUGGCUUUAAACGACCCGUCUUGAACCCCCGUCGCCCUUCGGGGACGUUCGGAGCU
rnacentral:rRNA from 1 species